rnacentral:rRNA from 1 species
UACGGAGGGUGCGAGCGUUGUCCGGAAUCACUGGGCGUAAAGGGCGCGUAGGCGGCUGAACAAGUCAAAGGUGAAAUCCCUCGGCUCAACUGAGGAACUGCCUUUGAAACUGUUCGGCUUGAGGCCGGGAGGGGGUAGCGGAAUUCCCAGUGUAGCGGUGAAAUGCGUAGAUAUUGGGAGGAACACCAGUGGCGAAGGCGGCUACCUGGACCGGUUCUGACGCUGAGGCGCGAAAGCGUGGGUAGCAAACAGG